rnacentral:rRNA from 1 species
CGGGGGGAAGGGGUGAGUACGCGUGGGACGUACCUUUUGGUUCGGAACAACACAGGGAAACUUGUGCUAAUACCGGAUAAGCCCUUACGGGGAAAGAUUUAUCGCCGAAAGAUCGGCCCGCGUCUGAUUAGCUAGUUGGUGAGGUAAUGGCUCACCAAGGCGACGAUCAGUAGCUGGUCUGAGAGGAUGAUCAGCCACAUUGGGACUGAGACACGGCCCAAACUCCUACGGGAGGCAGCAGUGGGGAAUAUUGGACAAUGGGGGCAACCCUGAUCCAGCCAUGCCGCGUGAGUGAUGAAGGCCCUAGGGUUGUAAAGCUCUUUUGUGCGGGAAGAUAAUGACGGUACCGCAAGAAUAAGCCCCGGCUAACUUCGUGCCAGCAGCCGCGGUAAUACGAAGGGGGCUAGCGUUGCUCGGAAUCACUGGGCGUAAAGGGUGCGUAGGCGGGUCUUUAAGUCAGGGGUGAAAUCCUGGAGCUCAACUCCAGAACUGCCUUUGAUACUGAAGAUCUUGAGUCCGGGAGAGGUGAGUGGAACUGCGAGUGUAGAGGUGAAAUUCGUAGAUAUUCGCAAGAACACCAGUGGCGAAGGCGGCUCACUGGCCCGGUACUGACGUGAGCACGAAAGCGUGGGGAGCAAACAGGAUUAGAUACCYUGGUAGUCACGCCGUAAACGAUGAAUGCCAGCCGUUAGUGGGUUUACUCACAAGUGGCGCAGCUAACGCUUUAAGCAUUCCGCCUGGGGAGUACGGUCGCAAGAUUAAAACUCAAAGGAAUUGACGGGGGCCCGCACAAGCGGUGGAGCAUGUGGUUUAAUUCGACGCAACGCGCAGAACCUUACCAGCCCUUGACAUGUCCAGGACCGGUCGCAGAGAUGUGACCCUCUCUUCGGAGCCUGGAGCACAGGUGCUGCAUGGCUGUCGUCAGCUCGUGUCGUGAGAUGUUGGGUUAAGUCCCGCAACGAGCGCAACCCCCGUCCUUAGUUGCUACCAUUUAGUUGAGCACUCUAAGGAGACUGCCGGUGAUAAGCCGCGAGGAAGGUGGGGAUGACGUCAAGUCCUCAUGGCCCUUACGGGCUGGGCUACACACGUGCUACAAUGGCGGUGACAAUGGGAUGCUAAGGGGCGACCCUUCGCAAAUCUCAAAAAGCCGUCUCAGUUCGGAUUGGGCUCUGCAACUCGAGCCCAUGAAGUUGGAAUCGCUAGUAAUCGUGGAUCAGCACG